AGAAAUUUAUCAUAUAAGGAUGACAAAGGAAGAAUAAAAUAACAGUGAAAAAACUUUCAAUUUACGCAAGCUACCCUUUCAAUAUAUAGAAGAAUUAUAUUCAUAAUUGAAGUGACGAAACCAGCUGAUAUGAUUUACAAAAUAAUAUGCAGUCAAAUAUUUACAAAAUCAAGCACCACAACGUACAUACUUUUCGUAGUUCCUUCACGAGAUAGAUCCACAUAACAAAAAGUAUGUGUUUGGUUUGUACCAGGGAGCCACCUUAGUGCCAAUAGCACAUUCGUUCGUAUAGUUGUUAUAAAGAUGGAAACAAAUGCAGAAAAGAGUUUAUUUCCCUUAUGCAAUGCAAAUCCUGUCAAAGUAACAGAUAAGUACCCGUUGGACGAUAUAUAACAGGGCGACCAGCUACAUUGGUGAACACGAAGCAGUUCUUGG
rnacentral:lncRNA from 1 species